GACGAACGCUGGCGGCGUGCUUAACACAUGCAAGUCGAACGGAAAGGCCCUGCUUUUGUGGGGUGCUCGAGUGGCGAACGGGUGAGUAACACGUGAGUAACCUGCCCUUGACUUUGGGAUAACUUCAGGAAACUGGGGCUAAUACCGGAUAGGAGCUCCUGCUGCAUGGUGGGGGUUGGAAAGUUUCGGCGGUUGGGGAUGGACUCGCGGCUUAUCAGCUUGUUGGUGGGGUAGUGGCUUACCAAGGCUUUGACGGGUAGCCGGCCUGAGAGGGUGACCGGCGACAUUGGGACUGAGAGACGGCCCAGACUCCUACGGGAGGCAGCAGUGGGGAAUAUUGCACAAUGGGCGGAAGCCUGAUGCAGCAACGCCGCGUGCGGGAUGACGGCCUUCGGGUUGUAAACCGCUUGCGCCUGUGACGAAGCGUGAGUGACGGUAAUGGGUAAAGAAGCACCGGCUAACUACGUG
rnacentral:rRNA from 1 species